CCUACGGGAGGCUGCAGUGAGGAAUAUUGGUCAAUGGACGAGAGUCUGAACCAGCCAAGUAGCGUGAAGGAUGACUGCCCUAUGGGUUGUAAACUUCUUUUAUAUGGGAAUAAAAUGUUCCACGUGUGGGAUUUUGUAUGUACCAUAUGAAUAAGGAUCGGCUAACUCCGUGCCAGCAGCCGCGGUAAUACGGAGGAUCCGAGCGUUAUCCGGAUUUAUUGGGUUUAAAGGGAGCGUAGGUGGAUUGUUAAGUCAGUUGUGAAAGUUUGCGGCUCAACCGUAAAAUUGCAGUUGAAACUGGCAGUCUUGAGUACAGUAGAGGUGGGCGGAAUUCGUGGUGUAGCGGUGAAAUGCUUAGAUAUCACGAAGAACUCCGAUUGCGAAGGCAGUUCACUGGACUGCAACUGACACUGAGGCUCGAAAGUGUGGGUAUCAAACAGGAGUAGAUACCCGAGUAGUC
rnacentral:rRNA from 1 species